GUGUUCAAUUCAACAGCGUAUAUACUACAAUUGGAAUGAUUCAGAAAAGAUUAACAUGGCCUCUGCACAAGGAUGACACACCAAUUCACGAAGCAUUUCAUAAUUUU